CAUCUCCCCUCUCUCUCUCUCGAUCGAUAGUUAUACACACGCACAUGCACACAGGGACAUCGUUCAAUUUCUACGGGUUCAUUGUAAACCCUAAUUGUGUAUAGAAAAAUGUAUUGCUUGGUUUCUCUCUCUCUUCUCUCGAUUCGUCACUUUUUCGAUCUAAGGUUUAGGGUGAAGAUUCGGCUCUUGUUGUACGUUAAUUUCUCAUGUGCCUUUCUCUCUGUAUGGAUAUGUAGGGUUUUGGGGUUUGACACUAGGUUUGGAUAAUUUUGUGUCGCUUUAUGAACCCUGAACUUCGAAUUCAUUGUGAGAGAAACAAGAGGUCUUGUAUGUUUGGAAACUUUCUUCUAAAGCAUUCAAUUUGUCAUGAAUUUCAGCCUCACCAUUCACUUUCCAUAGACAAGGAGAUAUAUGUGUUGUAUAGUCAUUAACAUAUUUAUGAGGAAAUAAGCCACAGCCAGGGGUACUAUUGAUGCAAUUGGAUUGAUCACCGACUAUGUUUCAGAGAUCCUCUGCUUGUUACCUGGAAAGCUUGGAAAAUGUGAUUAACAGUUUCGGAAUGGUCUAUAUGGAGCUCUAACUUGUGAUGGUAGUUUCUCUUGUUUGAUCGUCGACGGGCCUGGAGUGUAAAGAAAAUUUCUUGGUAAAUGCAGAAGAAUGAAAGUUCUU